UCCCUGGUAGCUCAAUCAGUAAAGAAUCUGCCUGCAGUGCAGGAGACCCUGGUUCAAACCCUGGUUGGGAAG
rnacentral:tRNA from 1 species